AUGCAAUCUUAUGAAGAAAAACUUGAGUUGAAAGUUUCUAUCCCUAGAAAACUUUAUGAUGAGUGGGAACCUACUAUUAAAAUUAAAAUUAAAGAUCAUGAGUUUUAUGCUUUGUGUGAUUUGGGUGCUAGUGUCUCUACUAUUCCCAAAACUUUGUGUGAUUUGCUAGAUUUUCGUGAUUUUGAUGAUUGCUCUCUAAACUUGCAUCUUGCGGAUUCCACUAUUAAGAAACCUAUGGGAAGAAUUAAUGAUGUUCUAAUUGUUGCAAAUAGGAAUUAUGUGCCCAUAGAUUUUAUCGUUUUUGAUAUAGAUUGCAAUCCUUCUUGCCCUAUUAUUCUUGGUAGACCUUUCCUUAGAACGGUUGGUGCAGUUGUUGAUAUGAAGGAAGGGAAUAUUUGA
rnacentral:rRNA from 1 species